rnacentral:rRNA from 1 species
UACAGAGGGUGCGAGCGUUACUCGGAAUUACUGGGCGUAAAGCGCGUGUAGGCGGCCAGGUAAGUCCGUUCUGAAAGCCCGGGGCUCAACCCCGGGAGGCGGAUGGAUACUGCUUGGCUCGAGUCCGGAAGAGGCGAGUGGAAUUCCCGGUGUAGCGGUGAAAUGCGCAGAUAUCGGGAGGAACACCAAUGGCGAAGGCAGCUCGCUGGGACGGUACUGACGCUGAGACGCGAAAGCGUGGGGAGCAAACAGG